CAGCCGCCGCGGGAAUACGAAGGGUGCAAGCGUUAAUCGGAAUUACUGGGCGUAAAGCGUGCGUAGGCGGUGAGUUAAGUCUGCUGUGAAAUCCCCGGGCUCAACCUGGGAAUGGCAGUGGAUACUGGCUCGCUAGAGUGUGUCAGAGGAUGGUGGAAUUCCGAGUGUAGAGGUGAAAUUCGUAGAUAUUCGGAGGAACACCAGUGGCGAAGGCGGCUCACUGGUCCAUUACUGACGCUGAGGUGCGAAAGCGUGGGGAGCAAACAGGAUUAGAUACCCCAGUAGUCCCUGUCUCUUAUAC
rnacentral:rRNA from 1 species